rnacentral:lncRNA from 1 species
CGGCUGAGCAUUUUAACCAAGUGUUUUCCAUUUCAAAAUUUGACAAAAACCUGUAUAUUUUUGAGUCGUUUAUUUUGCACUGAUGAUAUUGGUGCAGUCAUUUUUUUUCGAGCAUUUUUGUACCCAAGUUUUAUUCCUUUUUCAUGCUUUUAUUUUUUAUUUUUUUAGUCAAAAUAACUAGUGUAAUUAAUUAGGAUUAAUUGGAUGUUUAAUUUGAAUUUAUUGAGUAAUUGGUUUUUUAUUUUAAUUAGCAAGUUCGUUUCUAAUAUUUUCAAAAUAACGAAAUGAAGAUUAUAGAAGGAAUUUGCUUUAGAUUACAUUUACCCAACAACACACCACGCGCUAGCUGGACAAUCUUUCUCCAUCACGUGGCUAGUUAUACCAAGGUAGUGGGUUUUUUACUAAGGGUGGGGCGGCCAAUUAGAGAAGAUCACAUUAC